GGCUUCAGCAGGAAGAUGGGAAGAAAGUUGUUGCCUGGAACACACAGAACCUGAUGUUUACAGGCUUUUUCUCUGUUGGUUGUAUAUUGGGCCUCAUCACGAUACUGAUGCUUCUUCAUUGCUCUACCUGCCUUCCUAACUAAAUCAUGAGAUUUCAGAUUUAAAUGACUUUGGGAGGAUAGAGGGAGGACCAAAUAUAUGAUUAGAACAAGCCAUGUGAUAUCUAAUUAUUGUAAUAUAGGGCAGUAGGAUGGGCCAUGGUAUUAUUGAGACAGUAAGAAAGAGUGAGAGUGUUGGAAUACUGAAAAGGUGUGGCAGUGAGGGAAGAGCGAGAAUGCUUGGGAAUUGGUGAGGCUGGGUGUUAGUGAAGAGUAAGGAUGAGGAGGAGCUGCUGAGGGAGAUGCCAGGGUAAAAAGGCAGCAGCCAGUAUCAUGGGCUAUAUCUGUGCUGUGUAGAAACGGGUCUGAUGUACACAGGAUUUUAUGUAAAUCUCCUCCAAAGUUUUACACAUUGGCUUCUAAUUCAGAUGCUCACACUGCAGUAGUGAAACAAAAUGUGCUUAUGAGCUGCAUGCCACCCAGGGAUCACCGAAUUGCAAACUGUGUUCUUAAAGGUAGCGUGAUUCUGUGUGUCAAUUCCAUGCAAUCGAGUGUAUGCAGUUUAUGCCCUUGGAACAUGGGCCUUUUACCUCACGUCUAUUCUGUAUCUUUUGUAUGUGAAGCAUUUGGGCAGUUGAUACAGAAUGCCUACUCCUUCAUUUUAUAAUCUAGCAAAUAACACUAAAGAAUAUUUGAAAAGAAAUAGGAACAUAGCCAUUUCUCUAGAAUCAAUGAAGACGCAAAGGAUUUAAAUUUGCUGUUAGCCAUUUCUUAGCUGAAAAAGCAUAGGAAGAGAGCUUCACACAUCACACUUUUCUUAGAACGCCCAAAAGGAACAAAAGCUCUGCUUAGUCUCAGCUUUCAAAUUUCUCAAGUGUUAAAGCACAUUGAAUAAAAAUGCAAAGCCAUUUGUUUAAAAGCACAUUACUGUGCUCUAAACUUAUCCUAGACCUGAUAACACAUUGGAAUAAUUAUUCCAGGUCAGUAUUUACAGGAAGAAACAAUAUUUCCAAAGCUCUAGCAUGUUUUAUGUGGGUUUGGCUUUUCUUGAAACAGCUUCUCCUAAGUUUAGCAUUGAUAUCCAACCAGCAUCAUCCUACUACCCCAAUCAUCAUCUUGCUCUGGUUUGUGUGCGUAGUGCAGCCUUGCACACCAGAGUUACAAUAAGCAACAGUGGACACAGCAGUGGCCUCAUACUCAUUAGUAUUCUAAUAAAUACUUUUCAUGUUUCUGAGUAUAAUAACUGGAAUCGUCACUUGAGUUGUAUCUUCAUAUGACCAAACAAGCCUAUUAUCCAAGUUAGGUCACUAUGGUCUCAUCUUGGGACAGAGGAACUGAUCCUUACAAAGUUCUGGUUUUUAUUUCUUAUUUGUGGCUGCCUUUCCUGUGAGUCUCGAUAACUCAUAGCAUCAAUUAAAAGAUACAUUUCUAAACCAUUAA
rnacentral:lncRNA from 1 species